UACGAAGGGGGCUAGCGUUGCUCGGAAUCACUGGGCGUAAAGGGUGCGUAGGCGGGUCUUUAAGUCAGGGGUGAAAUCCUGGAGCUCAACUCCAGAACUGCCUUUGAUACUGGCUGUCUUGAGUGCGGGAGAGGUGUGUGGAACUCCGAGUGUAGAGGUGAAAUUCGUAGAUAUUCGGAAGAACACCAGUGGCGAAGGCGACACACUGGCCCGUAACUGACGCUGAGGCGCGAAAGCGUGGGGAGCAAACAGG
rnacentral:rRNA from 1 species